AUUCAUUUUACGGUUAUUCUUUAUUGCUUCUGGGAAUACUGUGAGGACGAGUAAGCACAGUUAUUUAACUACGCUACACUUUUCCUGGUGCCAAUGUUGAGUUGAGCAGAAGUGAAGCUGGAGAGUAUCCUGAUUGCAUGAAUGAUAUGCAUAGAAACUCUCAUCACUUGAGGAGUCCAUUACGGAAUUAUAUCUUUAACUCACGUGCAAAACUAAUCAUAUGAAGAAUGUUCAUGCUGCAGUUGGUUGAGAAGAACAAUACAGUAGUAAGUCAAAAAGCUUUUUGUCUUUUUUUUUUUUUAAUCCACUGAUGCUUUAUUCUAUCUGAACUCAUCACUAGGAGACAUCAAAAAUCUUUACAAAUUGAGUUACAGAGGUAACAUGAUAGGGAUGUGCAUAGAAAUCUAAGCUUUGAUUUACUUAUUUUUAAUUAGUAAGUGCUCUGUGUAGUGCAGCGAAACAAACGUGCUUGCUAGAGUUUUAAAGUACUUUAUGAGAAAAGUUCAGGUUUUGAAGCAUUUAAGUCAAUGUAAUUGCCUUUGACAUGUCUGCUGCUUUUCAUACUUUUCUCUCCAAAAUGUAUUUCUCUUUUUUGCUGCCUCACUCUCCCUGUGUAUCUGAUCUCUUUCACCUUCAGAUUAUCUUUCUUAGUAUUUCCAGCCUCCACCUCAUCAGUAAAGCUUCAAUGGACAAUACUGUUUGAAUCAGAAAUUUAACACCACCAUGAAGGACACCAUCAGGUCUAACUACACUCAUAGGACAAUCAUGUAGAUAUCCACGUGAGCUUUAAACUGGCUGGAUUCAGUAGCAAUGCAGGUCUAACCACCAUAUGAAUCAGCAUGUGUUCCUGUAGCCUACUAAGAAAGUUCUGCAGGAUAGAUGCACACGAAGUCUUGCAAGACCUUCUUCAAUGGGAAGUUACACUGACCAAUAAUUUUGAGGAUCCCUGCCUUAGAUCAGGAUACUCAGGUUUAGAAUGUCACUGCUGAUUGAAAAACUUAAUCUUUUAACAUCUCUGAUACAUAAUUAAUUAUACGCUUUUAUGUAUGUGUUUUCUUUGCACUGUGUUUGGAACCAGAAUGGCCUUCCUUCUCUACCAGUUAGUUGAGAUCUUCUGUGCCAGAGGAGCUUUUGAUUAUGAUCUGGAUUCACAAUUGAUGUAAGUGUGGAGAUUAAUUAAGUGAAGAAGGCAUACCCCAGACAUUUAUAAUUAACACUUCAGUUGGGUAUAAACCAGGGCUCCAAAGAUGAAAGCUUAAUGCUUGAAUGAUUUACUGAAUCACACAUUCCCUUUCAGCCACUGUUUUUAAGGGCAUGGUCUUUGCCAGCUCCAUGCACAUACUUUGAGAAUUAUGCACUUCAGAGCUUCUUGCAUGAUCAAUUUUGCAGUAUUUUUUUCCUAAGUGCCAUGGUGCAUGGUUGUGUUUAAUUCUUUGAACUUGUAUCAAUUCAUCGGACUUGAUUAAACCUUUUAGACCUGCGU
ensembl:lncRNA